rnacentral:rRNA from 1 species
UACGAAGGGUGCAAGCGUUACUCGGAAUUACUGGGCGUAAAGCGUGCGUAGGUGGUUUGUUAAGUCUGAUGUGAAAGCCCUGGGCUCAACCUGGGAAUUGCAUUGGAUACUGGCAGGCUAGAGUGCGGUAGAGGAUGGCGGAAUUCCCGGUGUAGCAGUGAAAUGCGUAGAGAUCGGGAGGAACAUCUGUGGCGAAGGCGGCCAUCUGGACCAGCACUGACACUGAGGCACGAAAGCGUGGGGAGCAACAGG